GGCGAUUGCUUCUUGGAUUCUUUAUUCCGUGUAACAAACCAUGAUUAUUCUUCUUAUUUGCAAGAAAAUGCACGAAUUCUAGUUCAAGUCACUGCUAAAUCUACCAAAAUGUCAAAAUACAUUUUCAUUAAAUCUUUAUUUAAUUUUUACCAUCUUUUCUGAUGAUAAGUCAACUUUCCGCACUCCUAUUAGCCAAUCGAAACGAUGUCAACUACUCCAACACCAUUCACUUAUCUCCCUGAAAUCAGCCAAAGCCAGAGCAUUCAUUUUUGCAUCAUAUUGCUAUAAAUCAUUUUCAGCAAUAGCUAGAUUUACAAAAUGUUGUCAACUAUUUAUCAGUAUUAACAGAUUUUCUCAAAAUAUUGGCAUUUCCCUGUACCUCACAAGGUAGGACCGCAGAAAGAGAUACGGGGAAAACAACUUGGCCGCAUAUUGAUAACAAGUCUCCCAUAAUCCAUUAACAGAUAAGAUGUACGAAACUUCAACAAUUAUCUUAGGUAUCAGCAGCCCUGAAGACAGUGAGCAACGAGAGGAAGAGAUUAAUGACAUCCAAAUACAAACACACUGCAGCCCAAAUGUACUCGUCAUAUGAGAAACGCUUGAUUAAGUUGUCGGUGUCGUAUAUAAUGUAUCCACAGAAUAUGAUUGAAGCCAGACACCCAUAGAUCAUAACAGAAAUUCUGCCCAAUGGAAAGAGAAUCUGCAGCCAGAAACAAGAAUUAAUUCCCAAUCAACCAUUAGAAAUUCAAAACAAAAAUAUCACAUUCCAAGGAGUUCUGAGAUCAUGUUCAACCAGCCAAAAGGAAAGAAUGUUAAAGGAUGAUUAUACCUGGAUUAAAGCAAACACCAUAAGAACAAGGACAGCACCAAACAAAAAGGGACCAAGAAAGUUGAAAUCAUGGCCUCUCCUUGCCGCCCAGAAUGUGUACAGAGUUAGACUAAAGACCACUACAGUUGUCAAAAUCACUGAUUCCAGAAUAACCUUCCCUGUUGCCAAAUGAAACAGCAUUAAACUACACAAAAUUGGAAAGAAGAUGUUAUAGCCAAUGAAUUAUGAUAAUGUUUCCCAAAAAGAUGCACAAAGUUGUGAGAAUAUAUAUUAUAGAAUAAAAAUCAUGUGAGCAAAAGUAGUGAGGAAGUUUCUACCAACUUGGACGUGGAAAAAAAAAAAAAAAAAAGACGUACAUAUAUAUUGCCAAUGUAGUGUUCUUAAUUAAAUUGACAUGCUGGAUUACAAAUUAAGCACAGCAGAACUUUGGAACCUUGUCACAUACAAGAAUCAAAUAUUGAAUAUGGCAGAGUUUUGAGAUUAUUGCAGGAUAUUGCAGUCAAAUGGAAAUAUCACUCAUGAAACUAUCUCAAUUGUGAAAAAUCCAAGGAAAGGCUCACAAUUUUCUAGCUGCCAGUUAAUAAAUACCAUGGCCAUGGGCCACGCCCUCUGGGUUCAACCAAGAAUAGUAUAAUUGAUGCCCCCCACUCAACAUUGGGAAGUUCUAUGACUAAAACGUCUUUCUUGGCAGUUGGCUUCAUAUCGUAGGUGUGGCUGUGGUGGGGGGUGUAGAGAACUCCUUACCCGUGUUUUUCUAAGCAUAACCUGUGACCUUGUCACCUGACUGCUUAAUAAACUUAAAUACUACAAGGGUAAGUAUGAACUGUGUCCUUCCCUGCAUGAUAACUUCAAAAAUUUUGACAGUAUUGGGGGAAAGAGAGGCCAACCAUAAAUAAUCAUUCAUCCCAUGAUGCACAUCACUGCAUGUCACCAAUCUAUUAUAUUGUUUUAUGCCAAUGUUAUAUAUGGCCAAGAAAAAACCCACAAAAGUAGACCACCUGUUGUGGAAACAACAUCAACAAGUAAGCUUUAACAUAAUUAAAUGAGUGAGAGACGUUUUGAAGUGUGAUGCAUAAGGCUUGCAGACCUUGGUUACAUGCAUUAUCAAAAAAUUAGCAAUAA
rnacentral:misc_RNA from 1 species